ACCAGUAAACUUUUCCCCCACAAGUUGUGCAGUGAUAUUUUUAUUUUAUUUUUUUUUAAGGAAAAGGGAAGAAACAGACACAUUUGGCAGAUUGUCAGGGACUGAUGAUGAGUUUGGUCUGCUGGUGUGUGAAGUGCAUUUGGUGGGGAAUGGGAAGAAUUCUCUUCAUUAAGAGGACUUUUUCUUAGAAGAGCGUCUCUUGCUCUUAUAUCUGCUGGAUCUUCUUCGAAUGCUGCCUCUCCCAGGGAUCACUGAUUCUUCAAAACUAUCUUGAAGAGUCAG